rnacentral:rRNA from 1 species
GGUUGAUCCUGCCAGUAGUCAUAUGCUUGUCCUAAAGAUUAAGCCAUGCAUGUCCAAGUAUAAACCUUUAUACGGUGAAACUGCGAAUGGCUCAUUAUAUCAGUUAUAAUUUACUUGAUGAUCUCUUUACUACUUGGAUAACCGUGGUAAUUCUAGAGCUAAUACAUGCAAAGGGCCCGACUCGCGGAGGGCUGUAUUUAUUAGAUAAAAACCAAUGCCCUCGGGCUGCUGGUGAGUCAUGAUAACUGCGCGGAUCGCAUGGCCCUGCGCCGGCGACGCUUCAUUCAAAUUU